UACCAGCACCCCGAGUGGUCGGGACGAUUAUUGGGCCUAAAGCAUCCGUAGCCGGUUCUACAAGUCUUCCGUUAAAUCCACCUGCUUAACAGAUGGGCUGCGGAGGAUACUAUAAGACUAGGAGGCAGGAGAGGCAAGCGGUACUCAGUGGGUAGGGGUAAAAUCCGUUGAUCCAUUGAAGACCACCAGUGGCGAAGGCGGCUUGCCAGAAUGCGCUAGACGGUGAGGGAUGAAAGCUGGGGGAGCAAACCGG
rnacentral:rRNA from 1 species